GCCUUCGUGGAGUAACAGGAAGCAUACUCGACUAAUAUUUGAGAGAUUUAGGGUUCAAGUCCCAGCGAGGGCG
rnacentral:tRNA from 1 species